rnacentral:sRNA from 1 species
UGAUAGUGACCUGAUGACGACAUCUGCCACACCAUUGAUUGAUUGCUAGCAUUGAUUCAGAAUUUGCCUAGCCAGGGGAGUGCCCUUUACCUCCUUACUGCUCUAUGUAUAUCCUUCCUGAAGCUUCCAGAUAGGAGAAAGAGAACUACUUUCUCCCAAAGAGGAGGACCGUUAUUUGCAUUACCCUGCUUGAACCUCCAAAACGUUCUCAAGAUGGGCCAAUCCAGGGGUGCAAAUAGGAUCUUUAGAAAAUAAAAUGAACCUCGUU